AACAGGAUAUUGUCCAGUUCUGGACUGUGUGCCAACAAUGACAAAAUGUUGUUUUCUCCUUGUUUUUGGGCUUCUUGUUGGCUUUUAUUAGUUCUGGGUGAGCCUGAACACAUUAGGAUGGUUUUUAAAUUCUUCCAGUUAGUGUGGAAACCUUGAGCCUCUGGAAGGAAAGUGGUGUCCCGUGCCCUGGCACAUUCUUGUCCUGGAGGAUGACACUCUGACUCAUGCAGAGGAAAAGAAGAGUUCUGUUGUAAAAAAAACAACAGGAAGGCGUCCAGGGCUGCUGUGUGCCAGGAGGACACCUGCAGAGCUACCGCAGGGUGGAAGUGAGCCACAGGCUGUAUGGAUAGUGCUGAGAAAACUGCACGGCUGCACAAAGCUGACGCCAAACUCGGGCGCUAUUUUUGGUUUCCGUUCUGCUUUUCUGACACCUGUAGGUAAGCGUGAAGCCCACAACAGCCUUCUGCAACGGCGUACAGAGCAAAGGAGCUGUCGCAGGGCAUGGGAUCCCAGUGAAGCGUUCUUGCCUAGCAAUCAGGAUUAAUUAUAACCCAGGAAUAUGAGCUGUAAAUGUGCUGGAGCUGCCAAGACAAGAGCUGGCUGCGUGCCAUCGCUUGAAUGAGGACGUGCCAUCCCGUCAGGACUCUCAGGUAACACCCAGGUUUAUGAAUGAAACCAGAUCUUACGCUAUUGUCUGUCUGGGAGUAAAUAUGCAGAGUUCUUAACCCGGAUUACUGACAUGAAUGUGGUUUAAAUUGACGUUACUCUUUUUGUCCAGGUAUGUUUAAGAAUGUUACAGUGUUUUUUGUCUUCUGGAGUGUCUAUCGCUCAACGUCUGUUAUGAGACUUCAUUAUACUUUAGUAUAUAUUUAACUAAUGAUCAUCUCUUCACAGGUGUAGUCAUCAGAUGCUAUCUGUGGUCUUUACCAGCGAAUCAGCACAAGCAACUCCUUCCUAAACUCACUUUAGAACCUGCAUCUUGGGCCUCGGAGAAAUAAUUGCACUUAACAAGACCUUAUUACCCACUGAAAAAUAUAAUGACUGAAUUCCUGGUUUGUUUUAAUUGGUGCAAUGGUGAACAGCCCCAGCCGGCUGUAUCAAUUCAGGACCAUAUGAAGUCUAAAGGUGGCUACACAAAUGGCACUUCCGCAACUGUUCAGAUAUAGGAAACUGAGAGAAGGUUGAAAUCUCUGUCUUAGGAGGACACGCUGGACUGUGCUUUCUUAUUUCCCAAAAAGGAUUUGAUUGUAAAUUAACCUUAAAAUGGUCAGUCAUGUUAGUGUUGUAGUAGCAACUGUAAUUUGUCAAUGUGGAUGACUUCCUAGCUGCGUCUGAAAAACCUCACAAAGUUGUCUUGUAGGAUUAGUUUGGAAGCCAGUAUAAACUGUCUGAGGUUUUGAUCUCUGCCUCUUUCUACCCUCAAGGAAUGCAGAGGUUGAUUUAUUUUGGAGGCUGUCAUGUUUGCACUUCUGACACGGGCUCAGUGGAAUUGCCAAGUAGGAUCUUGUAGCCUGUAAUGUUACUUUGGACCUGUUUUUUUUUUCAGGUGGCUUACAACCUCAUGCAUAAAUCUGUGGGGCUUUUGUACUGGGUCCAGAUAAUGCAUCACCCUAAAGUCUAAGUCAAACCCGUACAUUUGGUACUUUGCUCAUAUUUUUAGUGUCUUUCAGUGCUGAAUGAACUUAGUUAGCUCUAAAUAUAGUUAGCUGAGCCUGCAAAACCCGGGGAAACUUCUGGCUUGCUGUGAUAAUGCUUUUGUAGCUAAAAAUGGAGUUUUUGCAAACAUACCCACUCUGGAAUGAAGCUUGGGAAAACAGACGUUCCUCUUGAUUUCUGGGCUCCCUCUCUUCCAUACAUGCAGCAGUGUGACUCUCAAGUAUGACUACAACAGAGCUAAUAAUGCCUACCAGUUAAUUUCAAGUGGAACUACAACGUGCUCAGAACUGUGUGUUCAUUUUACAUGACUACUAUUGACUUUUAAAUGAAGCAUUUAAGAUAACUGUCCCUGUUACCUGUCUGUAACAGUAACUACACAAGACUUCAAGGGUUCUCUCACUUGUCUUUCUGGCUCCUUAAUUUUGAGACUUUUUUUUAAGAACUGAUUUUUUUUCUUUCAUAUGGUUGAAUUAAAAAGCAUGGUUGAAGAAGUGAUAGAGCCAUAUGAAAGACAGACAUUUAAAGAACAUUGUGAAGACUUGCAGGAGAAUAUUAAAUGGAACAGUGCCUUGCAGAAUUCCAGCACUUCAUAAAUAUGAAGAUCGAGCUAUACCCAAGCUACUGUUUAUCACUUAGCUUUUAUUCAUCUUUUUUUAAGUGAUAUGACAAAACUGCUGAAGUAGAGCUAGGUUCUUCUUUUACCCAAUCACUGACUACUCUUCCCCAGCUCAAAAUGCUGAAUGACCAGUGCAGGAACAGGAAAUCUGCAUGCUCUCAUGGGAUCGACUAAAUACAGGUGUUUAAACUGCUGCCGUAUCAGCACUGCUUAUACGUGAAGUCAUUGGAACUCUCUCCUCCUUGUUCUAGGCAUGAGAUGGGUUAUGAGCUUUUUUUUCCAUUUUAAAAAAACCCAUCUUUCUGGGUCAUCUUUUAACUUGUAUGAUUCUGUUGUUUGUGAUAGUGCUUCAGUCUAGAUUGCUGGCUUUGCGGAUUCGUUAGGCUGCCUCUUCUGAGCGUAUCGGGGAACUUAAAACAUGAGAGGUAGCUCUGUGUUUCUGCAUACAUUAAAAAAAAAAUAAAUUCUUUCCCCCGUGUUUGCUCUUUCAGGGCCAAAGAGGAAGAGAAAAUGCUUUCUUUAACAGUCAACAGCCGAUCUUAACUAUGUGAGAGAAAUCCACUGUCCGUGUCUUGCUAGACCCUUACUCUUGAGUUAAAAUACAUGCUGAAUUUUAAUAGAUUAUUUUAAAAUAAGCAUGAGUUAGCUGUACGUUUAGCUUUUUAAAGUCUUUCACAUUUCUGUCUUCUAACUUCAGAUUUACUCCAGCAGCCUAGUUAAGAUACAGAGUUCAAAGAAGCUAAAUCUCAUUGUCAUGGUUUAGCCCUGGCCAGUUUUAGCAGCUAAAACCAAACAGUUGAGUUUCCAGUUCCCUUUUUCCCCACCACCCCCAGGGAGAGGGGUAAGGGAAGUGAGAGGAGAAGAAGACUUGUGGGUUGGGAAACUAAAACUACAGUUUUAAUUGAAUAAUGAUAAUAAAGAAAAUAAUAAGAAAAUAAUAAAAUAUAUACAAUAUCUUAAAUUGUGCCCUACUCCUUAAUGAUGUUACAUCACCACAAAUGCUGCAGAGCAGAUGUGAGGGAGAGGGUCUGAGACUGGGAGGAGGGAGCUGGAUUCAGGAAUGCACAGAUCCAGGAUCGAGGGCAAAUGGACUGAUGAGGUCCUUGCUGGACAUGAGCAGUUACAGAAGAGAGAGACAGCCUCGUGUUCUCUCAAGUUUAUACCAAGUAAGGUGUAUAUGGGAUGGAAUGCUCUGCUGGUCAGUUUGGGGUCACCUGUCCUGUCUGCUGCUCCCUGCAGAUGUGACCCUUCCGUGUCUUUGGCUUGUGACACUCCACUGGCUUGAUGAUGCCCUUGGCUCCUAUAGGAAUAAGUAUAAGCAAUGGCCUUUCUGCAUCCCAGUGCCCUGUUCUCACUUCUAGAGAGAAACGCUGUCUGAAAAAUGUGCAGUUACGUUUUGGAAAAUGAAGUUACUUAGAUAAGACUUAGCUGAUGUUAGAAAGCUGAUUCUACUUUAGCUCAAACCAUAAUGCCCUUAUACUGUUGAGACAGCAUAAAGUGGCCAAAUUGUUUUAAAGACUAGGUUCUAAUUAAACUGCUAUUAAAUUGAUUUAAUGCAUUUCAUUGGUCCAUAACUCCCCAGCAAAAAUAUUGGCAAGGCAGCUGUCAUGAAGGAUAUGGAUUAUAUUUUGCUACUACUGUAAGAAAACAAAUUGAAUAGGAGUUAGUAUUUUCCUGAAGACCUAUUCAGUAGGUUUAAAAUCAGUGGUGUACGUAAAGCUAGAAAUAAAGGAGUUGGUGACCAUGUCACUUUUUGUCUCUAAAGAUUAAUCAACAGUAUUUUCUUAUUAAAUGCUUAUUUAUAGCAAAAUCCUAAUUUUUGUUGUGUAAACCAAGCAGUGCUGUCUGAUGUUAAACUAACCUGUUGCCUAUAGGGUAUUACACAGGGCCGUAUUGAAGCGUCACAUCAUUAAAAGGGAAUGUUUUGCUGUUGCAUUAAAGGUGCCAUUAAUGUUAAAAUCUAAACAAACCUGAAAGCGUGUCUUGGGACUUGACUAUUUUGUUGUAUAUUUAGAAGCCUUAUAUAGCUGUAAUCUUGUGUAACUCAGUAUAAAUCUGUCUUGGUUAUAAUAAAUCUGUUGUACUGGGCACUUGUACUCUUUUCAUAUGGUGGAAAAUCUUCCUUUUUUUUCUCUACACUGAAAACCUGUUGGUCAAGUGGAUGGAUCAGCAUGGCUUGAAAUUUUUACUGCACAAACCCUGAUUUCUCCACUAGAGAGCACAAUUUUACACCAGGUCUUUUCUGUCCACCCUAAGCAAGCCGUGACUCCAUUGUGAGUUAUUGUCUGUUUGACUUUUGAGCUUGACUGGAAUAAAAUAGAGCAAAUAAGACCAAAGGAUCUAAAUUGUAGGCUGUGAAGACCUUACAGCAAUGCAAUGUUGCAAUGAAGCGUUGCUGCUCUGACGUGAAUGGUGUUUUAUGGUUUCUUUUUGUAGUUGAAAGCGAAAUAGCUUGGAGAUGGAGCAGGAACACGUGUUUUACGUGUAGUCGGGUAGAGUCUCAGUGCUGUAUCUGUUUGCUUCCUUUAAAAAAACAAAACAAAACCACCACCACCCCAAAAAAAUCAUAAAAACAAACAAAAAAAUCCCCUGAAGAAACAACAACAAAAGAAAAGGCAUAGGGGGUCAGGAGUAACAGUUAUUUUAAAUAAGGUACAUUUUAAAUAUGCCUUGAUGUCCCUGCUAGGCUGUAGUACUGCAUAAUACUGCGUAAACCUGCAGUCCAUAUAGAGACAGGGUAUUUGGCUUUUUCACCACCUAAUAUGUCUUUUUACCUCCUGAGGAAUAGCUUUAUAACAAUGAUGUGGUGUCAUGUGUCCCGAGUCAGCCUGCAAUAUGAUAACUCGCAACCCAGGCAUGUAGUGCUAUUUCUUUGUACAGUUUUGCCACACAAGACUAUCGGGUGCUUCUAUAGCUUCCACUCUGUAUAGCUGAAAAAUGUUUGAGAUUAAUAAAUACCCUUAAUCUUACUCUGCCAGCAAGAAUAAGUGCAAUUUGACAACACUAAAUUCCAUGGAGGUAUGGUUAUGACAUUUAUUAUGUU